UAUACACUGAGCCAAUUCAGACCAAAAUUUUUAUUUUCCUUGUUUUUCUUGCCAACCAAGCAGAAGCUGGAAAAAUCAAACUAACACAUCCACAUGUAAGAAACGCAGAAGAGUCAAAUAUUCAAAAAAGGCACACCAAGAAUGUCAAUAAAUGCACACACCCACCAGCACCUAAAUAAUAAUAUAGCAGUGGCAAUGAUAGCACUAGUAGUAGUUUAAUACUUUAAUCUUUUGCUUUAAAAUAGCUCAUCCCUGAAACAUCCAAAACAAACAUGUUGAAGGCAAACCUACUCAACAUGUGAACAAACUUUAACUUCAAACUUAAAAACGUAUAUGUAUAAAACCCAGAAAAGUUAGAAUCUCGACAGGCGAUAGCUGCUAACACGUCACAACAGACACAAAGUGACAAAAAGCCUCUGAUGGACUUGGCCAUGUGAACCAAAGUUCAAUUAAAAAUCCCAAGAGGAAGAAAGAGUCAAAUGUGAUACUAAAGAAUACACCAAAAGAAUCAACCAAAACUCAAAAACUUACAUCCAAAACAGCACAAAAAAACAAGAGUAUUUUUUGAAGAAGAAAAAAAUAGAGAAAAAAGAAAGAAAAGGAAGAAAAGUGGGAUCAAUUCAAACACAUAAAAAUUAGAACAAAUUCUAGAUACCCACAAACUGAGCG
rnacentral:misc_RNA from 1 species